GACGUAGGGCGCGAGCGUUGUCCGGAUUUAUUGGGCGUAAAGAGCGUGUAGGCGGCCUUUUAAGUCCUGCGUGAAAUCCUGCGGCUCAACCGCAGACGGUCGUGGGAAACUGGAAGGCUAGAGUGCGGGAGAGGAGAGUGGAAUUCCCGGUGUAGCGGUGAAAUGCGCAGAUAUCGGGAAGAACACCCGUGGCGAAGGCGGCUCUCUGGAACGCAACUGACGCUGAGACGCGAAAGCGUGGGGAGCAAACAGG
rnacentral:rRNA from 1 species